UAACCCUCUUUCUCUCACCGCUGUUGAUCAUCUCCUCUCUGUCCUCGAUCCGCUUCUCUCAUGGGGCCAUAGACGCACACUGCGACACUGGUCCGUGGUCUCAACUUCACCUGCCUCCGUCUCCAUGGACGGAUCGAAGGAAAUGUCAACGAGCUCUGUGCUCAACUCGAGAAAUCUAGGCCGAUAAAAGUUGAAUUUGGAAAUUCCAACAAGAAGAAGAGAAGAUCUGAUUACGAUUCGCCCCAUGCUGCUCCUGUACGAAGAAGGUACAUUGAUAUGAACGAUGAUACUGACGGAGGAGAAGACCGAAUUGUGGUGUUCAGGAGAAAGCUAUCUGAUGAUUUUGAUAGAAUCGUUGGAGAGAUGACAACCAAAGCCAAUAAGAAAUCAAUUAAAUCUGGUUUACUGCUAACAUCUAAAUUUUGAACGUUUUGUUUAUUCAGAUUUAUAGCUCCAUGAGAUUUUCUACGAACAUAGAAAGUGAACAUGAACACAAGAUUUGAGAUCAGUGGAGAAUCUUCAGAUCUUUGAAAGAUGUUCUGCAAUCAAAGGCUCAUCUUCAAUCCAUGCUUAUGUCAAGAAAUGGCUCUUUGGUUGAAGACUUCUUUGGUCAACUGGUUGGUUCCGUACCUGAUCUG